AAUGUUUACAGUUACAAAGCAAGUAGUAAGUUGGUGUGCCUCAACAAGUAGGCCUGGAGCAAAAAUUGCAUGGCAAAAUGAGGAAACCACUGACAAGUGAAGAGUUUGCACAAUGGAAGACCACCUUGAUCAUCUCAUGGCUUUAUACAGGAAUCAGGUGGAUAAGUGUUCAUUUAAAGUGAUUUUGUUGUAGAAGAGUCAUCUGAAAUGGCUUUCAUGAUGGAGGAAAGGAAAGAAAUGAAAUCAACAUUCAUGAUUAUUUAAAACGACUUAAAAGCUAAGCAUAAUAUACAGAACAUCCAUGACCGUUCCAUUUCUAGAGCACACUUAUCCUUCAAUAAAGUCAGUCACUGGAUCAUCUCCUAAGGUUUCACCUGCUUUGCUUCAGGACAGGAUUCCACUCCCAUCGCCCAGGCUGGAGUACAGUGGUGUGAUUUUGGCCCACUGCAACCCCCUCCUCUCCUACUCAAGCAAUUCUCCUGCUUCAGUCUCCUAAGUGGCUGGGCUACAGUCGCGUGCCACUACGCCCUGCUAACUUUUCUAUUUUUUGUAGGGACAGGGUUUUGCCAUGUUGGCCAGGCUGGUCUUGAACUCCUGAGCUCAUGUGAUCUGCCUGCCUUGGCCUCCCAAAGUGCUGGGAUUACAGGUGUGAGCCACCGUGCCUGGCCUCUGAUUUUUCUAUAGUGAAAACAUAACUAUUUCUGUAAUAAUGUUAGAAAUACAUAUCAAUAUCACAUAGAAUUUUCAACAGCAGAGUCAAAUAAAAUGAAUCCGUGUGUGUGUGUGUGUGUGUGUGUGUGUGUGUGUGCGUGUGUAUUAUAAUGCAGAAGGAUAACAUCUAUAAUAGGUGAUAUAAUUACUAUCUUGACUGUUUUUUUCGGGAUGGAGAAAAAUCAAAAGAGCCAUUAGUAUUUUUAAUGGAGAAACUCUUAAUCCAAUCAAUAAGGAAUGCAUCUGUUAUGGGAAGAAUGAGAUGUCCAAGUGUUUGAAACACUGCUCAGCAUAUGCUUUAUACUUCUGAGGAAGAACUUUGAACAAAGGAGUAAACAACUGGAAUGCUGAGAAGAAUGAGGAGACAGCAGUGGCACAUGACACCUGUGUUUUUUUCUCCAUGGUUCGUUUGGUAUCUCUCCUUCCUUCCCUGUCAGCCACAGAUCUUUAUUACAUUAUUUUGAUGGGGAGAACCCUGGAGUAGGAAUGAGAACUGGGCUGUAGAUGUACCUCCCCCAUUAACCACCUGCUUGGGGCUAAUAUUCUCUCUUGUUAGGAGAUGAAUUUUACAAGUUCGAUUACUGAAUCUGAAACGUUGGGUUUAGAAAAUUUCUAGCUUUUUUUUUUUUUUUUUUCUGGUUUGACAUUCUAUGAUAACUUCAAGACAAAUGUUCUUUUUCCAAAUAAUUAAAACUUAAAACAGUUUCCUGUUUAAACAUCCAAAGACAA